rnacentral:rRNA from 1 species
GACGAACGCUGGCGGCGUGCCUAAUACAUGCAAGUAGAACGCACAGAUUAUACCGUAGCUUGCUACACCAUACACUGUGAGUUGCGAACGAGUGAGUAACGCGUAGGUAACCUGCCUGGUAGCGGGGGGUAACUAUUGGAAACGAUAGCUAAUAUCGCAUAAUAUUCAUUAUUGCAUGAUAAUUGAUUGAAUGGUGCACUUGCAUCACUACCAGCUGGACCUGCGUUGUAUUAGCUAGUAGGUAAGGUAACGGCUCACCUAGGCGACGAUACAUAGCCGACCUGAGAGGGUGAUCGGCCACACUGGGACUGAGACACGGCCCAGACUCCUACGGGAGGCAGCAGUAGGGAAUCUUCGGCAAUGGACGAAAGUCUGACGGAGCAACGCCGCGUGAGUGAAGAAGGUCUUCGGAUCGUAAAGCUCUGUUGUAAGGGAAGAACGGGUGUGAGAGUGGAAAGGUCACACUGUGACGGUAUCUUACCAGAAAGGGACGGCUAAUUACGU